AUUUACAGCCAUACCACCUGAACAUGCUCAGAUAUCUGAUCUCAGAAGCUAAGCAGGGUGGGGCCUGGUUAGUACUUGGAUGAGAGAACUCCAAUACAGUUGGGACCUGGAGAGG
rnacentral:rRNA from 1 species